AACGAACGCUGGCGGCAUGCCUAACACAUGCAAGUCGAACGAAGCCUUCGGGCUUAGUGGCGCACGGGUGCGUAACGCGUGGGAACCUACCAUCAGGUUCGGAAUAACAGUUAGAAAUGACUGCUAAUACCGGAUAAUGUCUUCGGACCAAAGAUUUAUCGCCUUUUGAUGGGCCCGCGUUGGAUUAGCUAGUUGGUGGGGUAAAGGCCUACCAAGGCGACGAUCCAUAGCUGGUCUGAGAGGAUGAUCAGCCACACUGGGACUGAGACACGGCCCAGACUCCUACGGGAGGCAGCAGUGGGGAAUAUUGGACAAUGGGCGAAAGCCUGAUCCAGCAAUGCCGCGUGAGUGAUGAAGGCCUUAGGGUUGUAAAGCUCUUUUACCAGGGAUGAUAAUGACAGUACCUGGAGAAUAAACUCCGGCUAACUCCGUGCCAGCAGCCGCGGUAAGUCGAUAUCG
rnacentral:rRNA from 1 species